CCUGAAUCCGCAACACUGGUCUUGCCAGCCAGGGGAGCGACAGGAGGAGGUGUACCCUGUUGUUCAUAAAUAUGGCGUGCACUGAAGAGUAAUGCAAUCACUCAAAAUGUGAACCGCAAAGAAGUGGAAAUGGCGCUGGGGAAGUGGUUUACCGGCGCACGUGACCGUGGAGGGGAGAGGGCUGCAAGAGCCCAAAGAGAAAAAGGAGCGUCCACCACACAGACGCCAU